UACGUAGGGGGCGAGCGUUGUCCGGAUUCAUUGGGCGUAAAGAGCUCGUAGGCGGUUCGGCAAGUCGGGUGUGAAAACUCCAGGCUCAACCUGGAGACGCCACCCGAUACUGCUGUGACUCGAGUCCGGUAGGGGACCACGGAAUACCUGGUGUAGCGGUGAAAUGCGCAGAUAUCAGGUGGAACACCGGUGGCGAAAGCGGCUCACUGGACCAUUACUGACGCUGAUGCACGAAAGCUAGGGGAGCAAACAGG
rnacentral:rRNA from 1 species